UGGACGCGACUGGCGGCACGGGGAUGGAUCCACCAUCGGGGAGCUCGUCGCGGGGGUCGACCGCCUGGGCCUCCGUG
rnacentral:ncRNA from 1 species